rnacentral:rRNA from 1 species
UACGGGGGGGGCAAGCGUUGUUCGGAAUUACUGGGCGUAAAGGGCUCGUAGGCGGCCAACUAAGUCAGACGUGAAAUCCCUCGGCUUAACCGGGGAACUGCGUCUGAUACUGGAUGGCUUGAGUGUGGGAGAGGGAUGCGGAAUUCCAGGUGUAGCGGUGAAAUGCGUAGAUAUCUGGAGGAAUACCGGUGGCGAAGGCGGCAUCCUGGACCGAGAUUGACGCUGAUGAGCGAAAGCUAGGGGAGCAAACGGG